UAUGCAAAAUGAAAAGCUACGGCACUAAAGGAGAGCUUUGCGUCCUAUUAGCUAGUUGGUAAGGUAAGAGCUUACCAAGGCGAUGAUAGGUAGCCGGCCUGAGAGGGUGGACGGCCACAAGGGGACUGAGAUACGGCCCUUACUCCUACGGGAGGCAGCAGUGGGGAAUAUUGGACAAUGGAGGGAACUCUGAUCCAGCAAUUCUGUGUGUGUGAAGAAGGUUUUAGGACUGUAAAACACUUUUAGUAGGGGAAGAAAAAAAUGACGGUACCUACAGAAGAAGCAACGGCUAAAUACGUGCCAGCAGCCGCGGUAAAU
rnacentral:rRNA from 1 species